UGGCGAACGGGUGAGUAACACGUGAGCAACCUGCCCUGGACUCUGGGAUAAGCGCUGGAAACGGCGUCUAAUACUGGAUAUGAGCUCCUAUCGCAUGGUGGGGGUUGGAAAGAUUUUUCGGUCUGGGAUGGGCUCGCGGCCUAUCAGCUUGUUGGUGAGGUAAUGGCUCACCAAGGCGUCGACGGGUAGCCGGCCUGAGAGGGUGACCGGCCACACUGGGACUGAGACACGGCCCAGACUCCUACGGGAGGCAGCAGUGGGGAAUAUUGCACAAUGGGCGGAAGCCUGAUGCAGCAACGCCGCGUGAGGGAUGACGGCCUUCGGGUUGUAAACCUCUUUUAGCAGGGAAGAAGCGAGAGUGACGGUACCUGCAGAAAAAGCGCCGGCUAACUACGUGCCAGCAGCCGCGGUAAUACGUAGGGCGCAAGCGUUAUCCGGAAUUAUUGGGCGUAAAGAGCUCGUAGGCGGUUUGUCGCGUCUGCUGUGAAAUCCCGAGGCUCAACCUCGGGCCUGCAGUGGGUACGGGCAGACUAGAGUGCGGUAGGGGAGAUUGGAAUUCCUGGUGUA
rnacentral:rRNA from 1 species